ACACUUACUUGGCAGGGGAGAUACCAUGAUCAUGAAGAUGAUUUCCCCAGAGCGAGGCUCACCCAUUGCACUCCGGGUGUGCUGACCCCUGCGAUUUUCUCAAAUGUGGGAAACUCGAUUGCAUACUUUCUGGUAGUGGGGGGGGGACUGCAUUCGUGCUCUUCGCUA